UACGUAGGGGGCUAGCGUUGUCCGGAUUUAUUGGGCGUAAAGAGCGUGUAGGCGGCCAGGUAGGUCUGCUGUGAAAACUCGAGGCUCAACCUCGAGACGUCGGCGGAAACCAUCUGGCUAGAGUCCGGAAGAGGAGAGUGGAAUUCCUGGUGUAGCGGUGAAAUGCGCAGAUAUCAGGAAGAACACCCGUGGCGAAGGCGGCUCUCUGGGACGGUACUGACGCUGAGACGCGAAAGCGUGGGGAGCGAACAUG
rnacentral:rRNA from 1 species